AGAGUUUGAUCCUGGCUCAGAACGAACGCUGGCGGCGUGCUUAACACAUGCAAGUCGAACGCGAAAGGGACUUCGGUCCUGAGUAAAGUGGCGCACGGGUGAGUAACGCGUGGAUAAUCUACCCAAUGGUCUGGGAUAACGUUUCGAAAGGGGUGCUAAUACCGGAUAAGACCACGGAGUCUUCGGGCUUUGCGGUAAAAGGUGGGGACCUUCGGGCCUACCGCGAUUGGAUGAGUCCGCGUACCAUUAGCUAGUUGGUAGGGUAAAGGCCUACCAAGGCGACGAUGGUUAGCUGGUCUGAGAGGAUGAUCAGCCACACUGGAACUGAGACACGGUCCAGACUCCUACGGGAGGCAGCAGUGGGGAAUUUUGCGCAAUGGGGGAAACCCUGACGCAGCAACGCCGCGUGAGUGAUGAAGGCCUUCGGGUCGUAAAGCUCUGACAGAGGGGAAGAAGUGAAGUGGUGCUAAUACCAUCAUUUUUUGACGGUACCCUCAAAGGAAGCACCGGCUAACUCCGUGCCAGCAGCCGCGGUAAUACGGAGGGUGCAAGCGUUGUUCGGAAUUAUUGGGCGUAAAGCGCGUGUAGGCGGUCAGUUAAGUCUGAUGUGAAAGCCCUGGGCUCAACCCGGGAAGUGCAUUGGAAACUGGUUGACUUGAAUA
rnacentral:rRNA from 1 species